AAGGCGCGCCCGGCUGGACAGCGUCGGGAACGUCAAGCUGAAAACUUUCUCUGAAUUCAGUUAUUCUUCCCUUACAACAGUGCUUUACGACCCGAAAGCCUUCAUCACACACGCGGCGUCGCUCCGUCACACUUUCGUGCAUUGCGGAAAAUUCCCUACUGCUGCCUCCCGUAGGAGUAGGGGA
rnacentral:rRNA from 1 species